UUGAAACACCAGUUCUCAUACAAUCAAAGAAGUUAAGCAAUGUCAAGCCUGGUUAAUAUCUAGAUGGGUGACCACUUGAGAAUACCAGGUGCUGUAAG